rnacentral:rRNA from 1 species
UACGUAGGGAGCGAGCGUUGUCCGGAAUUACUGGGUGUAAAGGGAGCGUAGGCGGGGAUGCAAGUUGGGUGUUAAAUCUACCGGCUCAACUGGUAGUCGCACUCAAAACUGCAGCUCUUGAGUGAAGUAGAGGCAGGCGGAAUUCCUAGUGUAGCGGAUGGAAUACGUAGAUAUUAGGAGGAACACCAGUGGCGAAGGCGCCUGCUGGGCUUUACUGACGCUGAGGCUC